rnacentral:rRNA from 1 species
GAUGAACGCUGGCGGCGUGCCUAAUACAUGCAAGUCGAGCGAAUGGAUUAAGAGCUUGCUCUUAUGAAGUUAGCGGCGGACGGGUGAGUAACACGUGGGUAACCUGCCCAUAAGACUGGGAUAACUCCGGGAAACCGGGGCUAAUACCGGAUAACAUUUUGAACCGCAUGGUUCGAAAUUGAAAGGCGGCUUCGGCUGUCACUUAUGGAUGGACCCGCGUCGCAUUAGCUAGUUGGUGAGGUAACGGCUCACCAAGGCAACGAUGCGUAGCCGACGUGAGAGGGUGAUCGGCCAACCUGGGACUGAGACACGGCCCGGACUCCUACGGGAGGCAGCAGUAGGGAAUCUUCCGCAAUGGACGAAAGUCUGACGGAGCAACGCCGCGUGAGUGAUGAAGGCUUUCGGGUCGUAAAACUCUGUUGUUAGGGAAGAACAAGUGCUAGUUGAAUAAGCUGGCACCUUGACGGUACCUAACCAGAAAGCCACGGCUAACUACGUGCCAGCAGCCGCCGCCG